rnacentral:rRNA from 1 species
GAUGAACGCUGGCGGCGUGCCUAAUACAUGCAAGUCGAGCGAACAGACGAGGAUCUUGCUCCUCUGACGUUAGCGGCGGACGGGUGAGUAACACGUGGAUAACCUACCUAUAAGUCGGGGAUAACUUCGGGAAACCGGAGCUAAUACCGGAUAAUAUAUUGAACCGCAUGGUUCAAUAGUGAAAGACGGUUUUGCUGUCACUUAUAGAUGGAUCCGCGCCGCAUUAGCUAGUUGGUAAGGUAACGGCUUACCAAGGCGACGAUGCAUAGCCGACCUGAGAGGGUGAUCGGCCACACGGGAAGUGAGACGCGGUCCAGACUCCUGCGCGAGGCAGCAGUAGGGAAUCUUCCGCAAUGGGCGAAAGCCUGACGGAGCAACGCGGCGUGAGUGAUGAAGGUCUUCGGAUCGUAAAGCUCUGUUAUUAGGGAAGAACAAAUGUGUAAGUAACUAUGCACGUAUUGACGGUACCUAAUCAGAAAGCCACGGCUAACUACGUG